rnacentral:pre_miRNA from 1 species
UAUAAUUAGUGUCCGUCUUAUAUAAAUUUUUUUUAUAAUUAGUAUUUUCAUUGUUGUUAGAUGAUAAAACAUGAUUAAUACUUUAUGCGUGACUUAUUUUUUAUUUUUUUAUAAUUUUUUUUAAAGAAGAUAGACGGUCAAAUGUUGGACACGGAAACUCAAGG